CUUCAUAUUACCAAUGAGAUGGCUGAGUCUUGAGAAGGGAGGAGAAUUUCCUAAGAUCUCUGCCCAGAGAUUGCCAUGAAUAAGGAGGCCCAGCCAGAUGACCUGGACUCCAGCCUGCACUCAAAGAUCACUAGUGUGGCUCGGGCACAUGUAUCAGUCAAGUUCUGUCAUCCUGACUGAUGCCUUCUCUCUCAUGUCCCAGCAGAGGGAUGCUUGGAGUCACGGUACCAGCUGGAAGCCCCAGAAUGUGAAAUAUAAAAAGUCAAAUAACUGUUUUAAUGGUCCCCAAACACUUUUGCAACUUGAGUCACUGUACCGGAAUUGGAUUUCAGUUGGGUAAAUCUUUUGUAAGGUGCAUGAAAGGAAGUCCUGGUAGGAAAUUUGAGAAAGCAUUAAUGUGGCAGAUGAGCUCCCAUGUGGUUCCAAGUGAGAAAAGAGUACUUAUGAACCUUGACGGCCCGAAAACUGAUUGCCCUAGGAAGACUUCGUCCAAGCCCAGGGAAGUGAACUUCAAUGUACAUCUGCCUAAGGAAAACAGUCUCCAAGGACAAGUUAAGGAAAACAGUCUCCAAGGGCAAGUGGGAUAUGGAUAUAUCCCAGUUGGGGGUGAAAUGAAACCAUUAAAACUUUACUUUUUAAACUCUCA